rnacentral:lncRNA from 1 species
AAAAACAGGGUUUCGUCAGCUAGUUAAGGCUAAACAAAGAACGUCCGAAAUAAAACAAAAGGUCGUGGUAUGUUUUAAGACUCUUUAAAAACCUUCAAUUACCCAGAAUAAACCACCUGGUCUCAGGCUGACAAGAAGGUCGGGCAACUGCAGCUGCUAAAAGCCAAACUCAGUGUAUUGGCUAGGUGCUAAUAUGCCUUUAUUGGGGUCUAUAACUUCAAAAUUAAGUUUUCAGAACCUGGGCAGAUUGAAUGUCAUUGACUUCUCUCGUCUUUGAGGAUGAGAUAUUAGAAGCCUGUGAAUUCUGACAGCUGUUUAAAAGUGGAGUUCCUGGAUUUCACGACAUUUUGUUAACAAUGUGUAAAGAUCGGCCCUAAAGCCAAUCUGUGCCGGGCUGCUUUGGCUGGGACAUCCCAGGCAAAGGUUUUAAGCAUAUGCUCAUUAUAGAACCCACGGGUAGCAAGCGUAAAGAAGCAAUGCUGUUCUUGUCUACAACCUGUUGUGGUUAACGGAGUUCCUUCCUUGCUGGGACCCUAGGAAGAAUGGCUUUCUUUACUGGAGACACACUGUGGGCUUUGGUAAUAAGAGGAAAACUAAGAGAAGAGGCUUUGUUAAGACCUUAGUGAAAUUCUUCUCCCCUCUUUCUUUUUAUUUUAGAUGUACCCAUUCUAGACCCCCCAAAGACUACCGUCCACCAGCAGCCAUCCUUCCACGAUUUUCUGUGGCCAGUUUAGACUGAGGUAUGAUGGCCUGGGAUAUACUAGUAGGCAUUUUCAAGUGCUUUUCUGAGGCAGAUCACCAGCCCAGAGCACCUGAGAGAGAAACAUCAGAGGUUGCUACACAGAGAUCUUUCCCAUCCAGAAUCCACUGGCGAGCUCUUCAGUAACCUUUGAAUAAGGAAGACUUGCCAGGGUUCACCGAUCUGAUGCUCAUGCACAUUCUUUGGUGCUACUGAAAUUUGAAAUGGGAAGAUUGAAGAUUGAGGUCUGUGUUAAUUCCUUAAAAUGUGGAUGAAGCAGAAAUGAAAUCGGAUAAUAUCUUUUUAGCGGGAUGCUGGGAUGCUUUGUUUUUUGUUUUGGUUUUGUUUUAUUUUUCAUAUGAUUUGCCUUGAAUAUCAGAGUUUUGGUCUUUAUUCUUAAAGAGUUUAUUUUCUGUUGGUCUCUCUGGUGUGUGUGUGUGUGUGUGUGUGUGUGUGUGUGAGAGAGAGAGAGAGAGAGAGAGAGAGAGAGAGAGAGAAAGAGAGAGGUCUAAAUUUUAUAAAGUAAAAUUGGGCUUGUAGAUUUAGGGGCUGGAAGUCCUAGGUUAGGCAGCAACCCCAUCUGUUUAGUCUUUAGCAAGGACUUUCUUGAUUUGAUCAACAUGGAUGCGCAGUAGACAGGAAGUAGAGUUGCGUAGGAGUCAAGCAUGUGGAGUAGCCCGGUUUCUAGUCAUUUUCUCUCAUGACAAGGACCUUCUUGAGAAGCCGCACACCCUUUCCAGACUGAUCUCAUGACAGUCACCUUCAUUAAGUCCCGCCCCUUAAAAGAUUCCACUCCUCAAAGGCCUCACACUGGGGAUCAAAGCUUUCAGUACGUGAGCCUUUAAGGGCCAUACUCCAACAGGGCACAGUCAAACCUUAACUUUUGCUCAGUGCCAUGCGUAGUCUACGCCUUUCCUUAGUAAUGACAAAUC